rnacentral:pre_miRNA from 1 species
UGUGUACUGGUGGGGUCCCUUGGCCUGGCCUGUGCUCUCUCGCAAUCCGGGACCCCUUGGGGGAUGUCAGACUGACAGUUUCAGCCUGAUCCCCGCAGGCCAGGCCGAGGGACCCCACCAGUGCAUG